rnacentral:rRNA from 1 species
GCAAGUCGAGCGCUACCUUCGGGUGGAGCGGCGGACGGGUUAGUAACGCGUGGGAACAUACCCAACUCUACGGAAUAGCCUUUGGAAACGAAGAGUAAUACCGUAUACGCCCUUCGGGGGAAAGAUUUAUCGGAAUUGGAUUAGCCCGCGUUAGAUUAGAUAGUUGGUGGGGUAAUGGCCUACCAAGUCUACGAUCUAUAGCUGGUUUGAGAGGAUGAUC